AAUCUACCUAUUAGUGGGGGAUAGCCCGGGGAAACUCGGAUUAAUACCGCAUACGCCCUACGGGGGAAAGCAGGGGCUCGUAAGACCUUGCGCUAAUAGAAGAGCCUGCGUUGGAUUAGCUAGUUGGUAGGGUAAAGGCCUACCAAGGCGACGAUCCAUAACUGGUCUGAGAGGAUGAUCAGCCACACUGGGACUGAGACACGGCCCAGACUCCUACGGGAGGCAGCAGUGGGGAAUAUUGGACAAUGGGGGCAACCCUGAUCCAGCCAUGCCGCGUGUGUGAAGAAGGCCUUCGGGUUGUAAAGCACUUUAAGUGGGGAGGAAGGGGUGAUUGCUAAUAGUAGUCAUCAUUGACGCUACCCACAGAAUAAGCACCGGCUAACUCUGUGCCAGCAGCCGCGGUAAUACAGAGGGUGCAAGCGUUAAUCGGAAUUACUGGGCGUAAAGCGCGCGUAGGCGGCUAUUUAAGUCGGGUGUGAAAGCCCCGGGCUCAACCUGGGAAUUGCAUCCGAUACUGGAUGGCUAGAGUAUGAGAGAGGGAGGUAGAAUUCCACGUGUAGCGGUGAAAUGCGUAGAUAUGUGGAGGAAUACCGGUGGCGAAGGCGGCCUCCUGGCUUAAUACUGACGCUGAGGUGCGAAAGCGUGGGGAUCAAACAGGAUUAGAUACCCUGGUAGUCCACGCCGUGAACGAUGUC
rnacentral:rRNA from 1 species